CCUACGGGAGGCAGCAGUGGGGAAUUUUGGACAAUGGGCGCAAGCCUGAUCCAGCUAUUCCGCGUGUGGGAUGACGGCCCUCGGGUUGUAAACCACUUUAGUAGAGAACGAAAAGGAGCUAGCGAAUAAAUAUCUCUGCUUACGGUACUCUAAGAAUAAGCACCGGCUAAAUACGUGCCAGCAGCCGCGGUAAUACGGAGGGUGCGAGCGUUAAUCGGAUUUUCUUGGCGUAAAGGGUGUGCAGGCGGCUGAGUAAGACAGAUGUGAAAUCCCCGGGCUUAACCUGGGAACCGCAUAUGUGACUGUUUGGCUAGAGUGCGUCAGAGGGAGGUGGAAUUCCAUGUGUAGCAGUGAAAUGCGUAGAUAUGUGGAAGAACACCGAUGGCGAAGGCAGCCUUCUGGGAUGCAACUGACGCUGAUGCACGAAAGCGUGGGGAGCAAACAGGAUUAGAUACCCUAGUAGUC
rnacentral:rRNA from 1 species